rnacentral:rRNA from 1 species
AUUGAACGCUGGCGGAAUGCUUUACACAUGCAAGUCGAACGGCAGCACGGACUUCGGUCUGGUGGCGAGUGGCGAACGGGUGAGUAAUGUAUCGGAACGUGCCCAGUCGUGGGGGAUAACGUAGUGAAAAUUACGCUAAUAACGCAUACGAUCUAUGGAUGAAAGGGGGGGAUCGCAAGACCUCGCGCGAGUGGAGCGGCCGAUAUCAGAUUAGGGAGUUGGUGGGGUAAAGGCCCACCAAGCCAACGAUCGGUAGCUGGCUCUGAGAGGACGACCAGCCACACUGGAACUGAGACACGGUCCAGACUCCUACGGGAGGCAGCAGUGGGGAAUUUUGGACAAUGGGCGAAAGCCUGAUCCAGCCAUUCCGCGUGCAGGAUGAAGGCCCUCGGGUUGUAAACUGCUUUUGUACAGAACGAAAAGGUUUCUACUAAUACUAGGAGCUCAUGACGGUACUGUAAGAAUAAGCACCGGCUAACUACGUGCCAGCAGCCGCAGUAA